GAUGAACGCUAGCGGCAGGCCUAACACAUGCAAGUCGAGGGAGAGGUUACCUUCGGGUAACCAAAACCGGCGCACGGGUGCGUAACGCGUAUACAAUCUGCCUUUCACAUAGGGAUAGCCCGAAGAAAUUUGGAUUAAUACCUAAUGGUAUAUAAGAGCGGCAUCGUUUUUAUAUUAAAGCUACGGUGGUGAAAGAUGAGUAUGCGUUCUAUUAGCUAGUUGGAGAGGUAACGGCUCCCCAAGGCGACGAUAGAUAGGGGCUCUGAGAGGGAUGUCCCCCACACUGGUACUGAGAUACGGACCAGACUCCUACGGGAGGCAGCAGUGAGGAAUAUUGGACAAUGGUCGGAAGACUGAUCCAGCCAUGCCGCGUGCAGGAUGAAGGUCCUAUGGAUUGUAAACUGCUUUUGUAAGGGAAGAAUAAGGAGUACGUGUACUUUGAUGACGGUACCUUACGAAUAAGCAUCGGCUAACUCCGUGCCAGCAGCCGCGGUAAUACGGAGGAUGCGAGCGUUAUCCGGAAUCAUUGGGUUUAAAGGGUCCGUAGGCGGGCUGAUAAGUCAGAGGUGAAAGCGCUUAGCUCAACUAAGCAACUGCCUUUGAAACUGUCAGUCUUGAAUGAUUGUGAAGUAGUUGGAAUGUGUAGUGUAGCGGUGAAAUGCUUAGAUAUUACACAGAACACCGAUAGCGAAGGCAUAUUACUAACAAUUUAUUGACGCUGAUGGACGAAAGCGUGGGGAGCGAACAGG
rnacentral:rRNA from 1 species